rnacentral:tRNA from 1 species
AUUUAAAUAGUGUAAAUUUUAAACACUUAACAUUUUCAUUGUUAAAUUCUUUUCAUUAAGUUUAAAUU